rnacentral:rRNA from 1 species
CCUACGUGCGGCAGCAGUGAGGAAUAUUGGUCAAUGGACGAGAGUCUGAACCAGCCAAGUAGCGUGAAGGAUGACUGCCCUAUGGGUUGUAAACUUCUUUUAUAUGGGAAUAAACUGUUCCACGUGUGGGAUUUUGUAUGUACCAUAUGAAUAAGGAUCGGCUAACUCCGUGCCAGCAGCCGCGGUAAUCCGGAGGAUCCGAGCGUUAUCCGGAUUUAUUGGGUUUAAAGGGAGCGUAGGUGGAUUGUUAAGUCAGUUGUGAAAGUUUGCGGCACAACCGUAAAAGUGCAGUUGAAACUGGCAGUCUUGAGUACAGUAGAGGUGGGCGGAAUGCGUGGUGUAGCGGUGAAAUGCUUAGAUAUCACGAAGAACUCCGAUGGCGAAGGCAGUUCACUGGACUGCAACUGACACUGAGGCUCGAAAGUGUGGGUAUCAAACAGGAUUAGAUACCCCUGUAGUC